rnacentral:rRNA from 1 species
GCGCAGCAGGCGCGAAAACUUUACAAUGUGCGAAAGCACGAUAGGGGAUCUCUGAGUGCCUCCUAAGGAGGCUGUUCAGGUGUCUAAAAAGCACCUGGAGUAAGGGCUGGGUAAGACCGGUGCCAGCCGCCGCGGUAACACCGGCAGCCCGGGUGGUAGCCACUUUUAUUGGGUCUAAAGCGUCCGUAGCCGGUUGAGUAAGUUCCUUGGGAAAUUUGGCUGCUCAACAGUCAAGCUUCCAGGGAAUACUGCUCGACUUGGGGACUGGGAGAGGUCAGAGGUACUCCAGGGGUAGGGGUGGAAUCCAUUAAUCCCUGGGGGACCACCGGUAGCGAAGGCGUCUGACCAGACCAGGUCCGACGGUGAGGGACGAAGGCUAGGGUCGCGAACCGGAUUAGAUACCCCGGUAGU